rnacentral:rRNA from 1 species
UGCAGUCGAGCGGAGAGAGGUAGCUUGCUACUGAUCUUAGCGGCGGACGGGUGAGUAAUGCUUAGGAAUCUGCCUAUUAGUGGGGGACAACAUUUCGAAAGGAAUGCUAAUACCGCAUACGUCCUACGGGAGAAAGCAGGGGAUCUUCGGACCUUGCGCUAAUAGAUGAGCCUAAGUCGGAUUAGCUAGUUGGUGGGGUAAAGGCCUACCAAGGCGACGAUCUGUAGCGGGUCUGAGAGGAUGAUCCGCCACACUGGGACUGAGACACGGCCCAGACUCCUACGGGAGGCAGCAGUGGGGAAUAUUGGACAAUGGGCGCAAGCCUGAUCCAGCCAUGCCGCGUGUGUGAAGAAGGCCUUAUGGUUGUAAAGCACUUUAAGCGAGGAGGAGGCUACUUUAGAUAAUACCUAGAGAUAGUGGACGUUACUCGCAGAAUAAGCACCGGCUAACUCUGUGCCAGCAGCCGCGGUAAUACAGAGGGUGCAAGCGUUAAUCGGAUUUACUGGGCGUAAAGCGCGCGUAGGCGGCUAAUUAAGUCAAAUGUGAAAUCCCCGAGCUUAACUUGGGAAUUGCAUUCGAUACUGGUUAGCUAGAGUGUGGGAGAGGAUGGUAGAAUUCCAGGUGUAGCGGUGAAAUGCGUAGAGAUCUGGAGGAAUACCGAUGGCGAAGGCAGCCAUCUGGCCUAACACUGACGCUGAGGUGCGAAAGCAUGGGGAGCAAACAGGAUUAGAUACCCUGGUAGUCCAUGCCGUAAACGAUGUCUACUAGCCGU